AGAUAUUGGAGUGACGGAGCAUUCAGACGUGUGGUCUUCUUUCUCCGCCGAUCCGUCCAAGUCCGUUCCCUUGGCUGUGGUUUCGCUAGACAGUAGAUAGCGAUAGUGGGAAUCUCGUUGAUCCAUUCAUGCGCGUCACUAAUUAGAUGACGAGGCAUUUGGC